UUUUAUGAGCUUUUUCUGAGAUUUGAAGUUUAAAAAUGGUCAAACGGUGUGCAUGGGGUACAUGCAACUCUGACACAAGGUAUCCUGAGAGGCUGGGCGACCAGGUGUAUUUUUUACACUUUAAACCACAUCUCAACCGAGAAAAGUGUCUCCUUUGGAUAAAGUUGUGUGGUAACGUUAGACCACAACAUCAACUCAACGUGAAUAAGAUUAACAAUGAUGUCUACAUCUGUUCUAAGACGUGUACGUUGGUGCUCCAGCAGCAGAAGCAGUCACUCACCGCACUGCAAGUCUCAAGUAAGUCUCAAGUCUUAACCUUCAAGUCUCAAGUAAGUCCCAAGUCAUUUUUUCUUGGGCAAGUCAAGUCAAGUCAAGUCACAGGUUAUGUCAAGUCAAGUCAAGUCAAGUCAAGUCCUGUAAUAGGUCAAGUCAAGUCACCUUAUUAUUGUAAUUUUACCUGCAGAAUCUGAUCUUAAUAAAGUGAAAAGACAAGAUAUAAGUAACUGUCAGUAAACAUUGACUUCAUCGCUGCAAUGUUUACUUUGCAGGGACGACCCCCAUGCGUGCGUGCACACACACACACACACACACACACACACACACACACA